AACGAACGCUGGCGGCAUGCCUAACACAUGCAAGUCGAACGAAGGCUUCGGCCUUAGUGGCGCACGGGUGCGUAACGCGUGGGAAUCUGCCCUUUGGUUCGGAAUAACAGCUGGAAACGGCUGCUAAUACCGGAUGAUGACGAAAGUCCAAAGAUUUAUCGCCAGAGGAUGAGCCCGCGUUGGAUUAGGUAGUUGGUGGGGUAAAGGCCUACCAAGCCGACGAUCCAUAGCUGGUCUGAGAGGAUGAUCAGCCACACUGGGACUGAGACACGGCCCAGACUCCUACGGGAGGCAGCAGUUGGGAAUAUUGGACAAUGGGCGCAAGCCUGAUCCAGCAAUGCCGCGUGAGAGAUGAAGGCGCUAGGGUUGUAAAGCUCUUUUACCCGGGAAGAUAAUGACUGUACCGGGAGAAUAAGCCCCGGCUAACUCCGUG
rnacentral:rRNA from 1 species